AAUUUUAAAUUGAGAUGAGCGUAUGUAAAAUCUUGGAAUUUCUUGAUUUCCAUUUCAUAUGGGAUUUAAUCUCUCUCGAUUUCCUCUCUCUCUAUUCAUGUGGAAGAGUUAUUUUUGUUAGUCUCUCUCUCGUUUUGUGGCGUUUUUUGCUAUCUAAAGUUCUGUAAAACCUGAACAUCAGGUUGGGUUUCUCUCUAUACAGAUGAGCCCUCUUUCUAUCUCUAAUCUUUUCAAAACCUGCGAAUUCAUGUUGGGUUUCUCUUUUUUCCAUGUAGAACAAGGGUUAGGUUUCAAACAAUUUCACAAUAAAAAAAUAAAAGAAAUAAAAAAAAAUUCAAAACUUGGACACACCCCUCUUUUUUUCCUACUUUUGUAUUUUCUUAGGAAUUUUUUGUUUGAAAUAAGAUUCCCUAUUUUUGCAGGAAGUCGUAUUUAAAGCAGAAUUCUCCUUUUUCUUUAUAUAUAUAUAUAUAUAUGUCGGACAAUCUUCUGUAAGGAGAGAUUUCUACAAAUUUUGGCGGAAAUCCACAAUUUCCCUAAGAAACUCUCAUGCAAUCAGUUAUAUUCUCUACUUCUUCUAUUUCUUUUUUUCUUUUUCCUUUUUCUUGCUUUUUCCUUGUUUAGUGCUAUGUUGUCCUAAUUGGUCUUUGCAGAGAUUCAAGGUCUUUAAGGUUUUAAGAUUUCGGUUUUUCUCUUCGUUUUUUCUCCAUUUAAAUAAUUUGGUGUUUUGAGAUUUCAGACUUAUUAUUUAACUUUCUUUUUUUAGGGUUUCUUUCCUCCUCUGUUAUCUGUACCCUCGGUAUGAAAUAAGCUAGUUUGGUUUCUCUAUGUAUAGUUGUUCUUUUCUCUCUCUGUAUUUGCAUGAUGUGAUAUAUGGUUGAGGUUGUCAAUGGUAAGGAAUUAGGAUUUGUAUAUUUCACUCUCUCUUGUCGACUCUCUUUCUAUGGUUUGGUUUUAGGGUUUGAUUUGGUCAUAAUUUGACUGGAAUUGUGGCAUAUGAUAAGUCUUCAAGGCUUUAAUUGUAACUUUGUAAGCCCUUCCAUGUACUAAUAUAUGGUUUACAGUUCUGAGGUUUAUGGGGUUUAGGGCUUUAUGUACAUGCAUUCAUUAUUUACUCUUUAAUCUUGAUCAUAUUUAGGUUUUAGAAAGUUAUUUUCCUUUUGUCCUUAUAAGGUAUGAUACCAUUUGCUUGAAAACUUUUCAAAAAUCUUACUUGGUCAUGCAAGUUUGGGGUCAUGAAUGCAUUCAUGAAUAAUCAUAUGAUGCAUUGCAAGAAUUGAUAAGAAAUUCAAUAUAAUGGUCAGAACAUAUAAAUUCAAUAAGUAAACCAUGAGUGUAAGAUAUUGAUAUCCAAAUAGAAACAUAUCCAAUUAAUGCUAAUAUACACUCAAAUCCACUGUUUCUCUCUGAUUACUUCUGUGAAAUCGACAAUUGCUUUAAUUGGAAUGUGGAUUAAACAGUUUUGAUUCUAGCAAUAUUCUGUAUCAGUCUAUGCAUUAUUUGCCCCUUUUUUUUUUAUUAUAUUUGUUCACUCUGUAGUUAUGUAAUUAGGGUUUAACGUCUUUAUGAAAUGGCUUCUUCUCCUUAUUAUUUUUCUCUAUUUUCUUUUGGAAUUGGCAUUAGCUAUCAUUUAUUACUUGACAUAAUUGUUCGAUUUAUAGGAUAUGUGAGUUGAUUAUUUCAACCAAUGUCUGAACUGAAUAUUUGAAAUAUGGGAAAGAGGAAGUCCAUGAUUAAGUCUCCUCCAAUGAAGAAGCUACCCAAGCUUGAUACCCUCCAAUGAAGAAGCUACCCAAGCUGGAUACCCUCCAAUGAAGAAGCUACCCAAGCUCGAUACGACAUUUUGUUGCCCGUUCUGUAAACAUCCUGACAGUGUUGGUUGUAUAAUAUGAGUAGUUUUCCUACUACUAAUCUCUAUUUUUCCUUAUAAUUCUUUUAUAGGGAAAAAUGUCACUGAAAAUGUGUGUCCAUUUGUAUCUAUUGAUGUUGUAUUUUAAGUGCUGAUAGUUUCACUGAUAAAAGAGAUGAGAAGCUUUGUUGGGUAGGCAUUCCCUCUAAUCUUAUAUGGGCCAACAUGCUGCUAAUUUUUCUUUUAAAUUGCUAAAAUAUUAUUUACACUUUCAUAGUAACAAAAUACUCCAUCACUUUCCACUUAGAGUGCUAUCCUAAUCUGUCAUGUACUGAGUACUGCCUUGGUUUGAGACUUCUGAAUUUGUAGCUCUAGAAAUGAGCAAAAGAAUAUUAUGCUCUGUUGCAUUUUUUAAUUUGAAUUCAUUUUUCAUUUGAGUUCUAUAGUCUUCAUUUUUUCACUCCCAAAGUUUCAUGUUACUAUUAUUCUUUUCAUUUCAUUUGUUUUCUUUGUCUUUUGUUGUUCUUUUUUUUCAUUUGUUUUCUGUCUUUUGUUCUUUUUUUUCAUUUGUUUUCUUUGUCUUUUGUUGUUCUUUUUUUUCAUUUGUUUUCUCUGUCUUUUGUUGUUCUUUUUUCCCCCUUUUCUAGCCUGCAAAUGCACCGAUAUAUGUCUGGAUGAGUAUUCAGACUUACCUAGUACGGUGGGUAUUAAUGGACAAUGUUAUCCUUCACAGAUCGAAAGGAAAAGAUCGGGGAAGGGGUUUGCGAAGUGGGGUAUGCAAUCAAUAUCCAUUGUAUAUCUAAAAACCUCUGUAAUAGAACUGAAUUUUGCUUUCUACAAAUUUGAUAUAUUUCUAUCUCGCUCUUAUCAUUCUUUGGCAUUGUGGCCAUCUUUGUGUCUUUUUCAUUAUUUCAUUUUAAUUCUAACAAAAGUGAAACUUCUGCAUUUGUAGCUUACUAAAAUUAAAAUAUGGUAACUUCUAUUCAUAUCUUUUACUUAAGUAUUAUGCUGACCCAACUCCUGUUUUCUUUGUUUUUGCAACUUUAACGAAACCCAUUGACAUGUACGUUGCAUUAACCAUCUAUUCAUUUCUUUUCUUUUGGAUCUCCAUAGCCAUCAAUGCUUUGAUCUAUUUAAUGUUGGGCUUCAUUACCCUUAAGUUACACAAUCAAGUUGGUUAACUAAAAAAAAAUUUUAUAGUUACUUUCAAACUAAUAUGAACUGGUAUGAAAGUAAGAAAUGUAAAAAUCUCAUCUUGAAAUGCUAAAGCUGUCUAGUUCCUAAUGCUAUUAGAAAAUACAAUAAAUAAAAUAAAAUAUGAUUGGAUUGCCCAAUAAAUAAGAAACAAGUGGUAUCCACCUCUUACAUUUAUUGUCCUUGUUAUUUUGUGAGGUUUAGUAUCAAAUGUAGUGGACUUCUUAUUGCCUUAACAAUUUUGGGGUGCAAAUGCAGUUAUAGUGAAUGGCGAAGCUGCAAACGCCCCACAACCUUGAAUCUCAAGCAUUAUGAGAAGAUGCAGAGAGUGAUAUAAUUUGGAGAUUCCAUGUUUGCCCUUUUUUUUCCUAGAGACCAUGCCUUUUUUUUCUCGAUUUUUGGUCAAGGGGAGCACACUAGUAAUGACCAUGUUCAGGCUGCUGAAGAUUUAUUUCUUUGUUCUUAUUUAUUUCAUUUGUUCUUAUAGGCAGUUAGUUAGUGCUGACGAUUCUUUUGAGGCUAUAAAAAACGUAGAUGAAGCAAGUUCUCUCAUGUGUACACAUCUCGGCCACAUUUGUGUUUACAUGUAUUCAGAAUACAGGGAUUUUGUGAUGUCCAAAUAUGUAUGGAUAUAGUCAGAGUUCAUGAAUUUAGAUAUGUUGAUUGAUUUAUAAUCAUUUAAUAAAUUACUAGUGUUAUGCUGGUACGUU
rnacentral:lncRNA from 1 species